AGAGUUUGAUCCUGGCUCAGAUUGAACGCUGGCGGCAUGCUUUACACAUGCAAGUCGAGCGGCAGCGCGGGGGCAACCCUGGCGGCGAGCGGCGAACGGGUGAGUAAUACAUCGGAACGUACCCAGGAGUGGGGGAUAGCCCGGCGAAAGCCGGAUUAAUACCGCAUACGAUCUAUGGAUGAAAGUGGGGGACCUGCAAGGGCCUCACGCUUUUGGAGCGGCCGAUGUCCGAUUAGCUAGUUGGUGGGGUAAAGGCCUACCAAGGCGACGAUCGGUAGCUGGUCUGAGAGGAUGAUCAGCCACACUGGGACUGAGACACGGCCCAGACUCCUACGGGAGGCAGCAGUGGGGAAUUUUGGACAAUGGGGGGAACCCUGAUCCAGCCAUGCCGCGUGCGGGAAGAAGGCCUUCGGGUUGUAAACCGCUUUUGGUCGGAAAGAAAAGGCCACGCCUAAUACGUGUGGUUCUUGACGGUACCGGCAGAAUAAGCACCGGCUAACUACGUG
rnacentral:rRNA from 1 species